rnacentral:rRNA from 1 species
AGAGUUUGAUCCUGGCUCAGAAUCAACGCUGGCGGCGUGCCUAACACAUGCAAGUCGAACGAGAAAGGGACUUCGGUCCUGAGUAUAGUGGCGCACGGGUGAGUAACACGUGAAUAAUCUACCCUCGAGUGGGGAAUAACCUAGAGAAAUCUGGGCUAAUACCGCAUAACACUUACGAGUCAAAGCAAGCGAUUGCGCUUGGGGAGGAGUUCGCGGCAGAUUAGCUAGUUGGCGGGGUAAUGGCCCACCAAGGCGAUGAUCUGUAUCCGGCCUGAGAGGGCGCACGGACACACUGGAACUGAAACACGGUCCAGACUCCUACGGGAGGCAGCAGUGGGGAAUUUUGCGCAAUGGGGGAAACCCUGACGCAGCAACGCCGCGUGGAGGAUGAAGUAUCUUGGUACGUAAACUCCUUUCGAUGGGGAGGAUAAUGACGGUACCCAUAGAAGAAGCCCCGGCUAACUUCGUGCCAGCAGCCGCGGUAAUACGAGGGGGGCAAGCGUUGUUCGGAUUUAUUGGGCGUAAAGGGUGCGUAGGCGGUUUGAUAAGUCUUAUGUGAAAUCUAUGGGCUCAACCCAUAGUCUGCAUGAGAAACUGUCGGGCUUGAGUAUUGGAGAGGUGAGUGGAAUUUCCGGUGUAGCGGUGAAAUGCGUAGAUAUCGGAAGGAACACCUGUGGCGAAAGCGGCUCACUGGACAAUAACUGACGCUGAGGCACGAAAGCUAGGGGAGCAAACAGGAUUAGAUACCCUGGUAGUCCUAGCCCUAAACGAUGAUUGUUUGAUGUGGCAGGUACCCAAUCCUGCCGUGUCGAAGCUAACGCGAUAAACAAUCCGCCUGGGGAGUACGGUCGCAAGGCUGAAACUCAAAGGAAUUGACGGGGGCCCGCACAAGCGGUGGAGCAUGUGGUUUAAUUCGACGCAACGCGAAGAACCUUACCUGGGCUCGAAAUGCACAAGAAUCCGGCAGAAACGUCGGCGCCUAGCAAUAGGCUUGUGUAUAGGUGCUGCAUGGCUGUCGUCAGCUCGUG